rnacentral:rRNA from 1 species
GUGCCAGCCGCCGCGGUAAUACGUAGGGUGCAAGCGUUAAUCGGAAUUACUGGGCGUAAAGCGUGCGCAGGCGGUUUUGUAAGUCUGUCGUGAAAGCCCCGGGCUCAACCUGGGAAUUGCGAUGGAGACUGCAAGGCUUGAAUCUGGCAGAGGGGGGUAGAAUUCCACGUGUAGCAGUGAAAUGCGUAGAGAUGUGGAGGAACACCGAUGGCGAAGGCAGCCCCCUGGGUCAAGAUUGACGCUCAUGCACGAAAGCGUGGGGAGCAAACAGGAU